rnacentral:rRNA from 1 species
UGGGCGUAAAGCGCAUGCAGGUGGUUUGUUAAGUCAGAUGUGAAAGCCCCGGGGCUCAACCUCGGAAUUGCAUUUGAAACUGGCAGACUAGAGUACUGUAGAGGGGGUAGAAUUUCAGGUGUAGCGGUGAAAUGCGUAGAGAUCUGAAGGAAUACCGGUGGCGAAGGCGGCCCCCUGGACAGAUACUGACACUCAGAUGCGAAAGCGUGGGGAGCAAACAGGAUUAGAUACCCUGGUAG